UUUCCCGCCAAAAACC
rnacentral:sRNA from 1 species